rfam:Ictidomys tridecemlineatus contig085689, whole genome shotgun sequence.
GGGGUUGUGGGCUCAGUGGUAGAGCGCUCACCUAGCAUGCAUGAGGCACUGGGUUCAAUCCUCAGCACCACCA